CGGAGACGGGUGAGUAUGCAUAGGAAUCUACCUAGUAGUAUGGGAUAGCCACUAGAAAUGGUGGGUAAUACUGUAUAAUCCCUGCGGGGGAAAGAUUUAUCGCUAUUAGAUGAGCCUAUGUUAGAUUAGCUAGUUGGUAGGGUAAAGGCCUACCAAGGCAGUGAUCUAUAGCUGGUCUGAGAGGAUGAUCAGCCACACUGGAACUGAGAUACGGUCCAGACUCCUACGGGAGGCAGCAGUGGGGAAUAUUGGACAAUGGGCGCAAGCCUGAUCCAGCUAUGCCGCGUGAGUGAGGAAGGCCUUAGGGUUGUAAAACUCUUUCAGUGGGGAAGAUAAUGACGGUACCCACAGAAGAAGUGGGGGUCAAAACUCAAAA
rnacentral:rRNA from 1 species